AGAGCGAACGCUGGCGGCGUGCUUAACACAUGCAAGUCGAGUGGCGCGCCUGUAGCAAUACAGGUGGCGCACGGCGCACGGGUGCGUAACACGUGGGUAAUCUGCCCUUCGAUGGGGAAUAACUCCGGGAAACCGAAGCUAAUUCCGCAUAACAUUCCUUGGACCUCGGUCUGGGGAUUCAAAGCCGUAAGGCGUCGGAGGAGGAACCCGCGCACGAUUAGUUAGUUGGCAGGGUAACGGCCUACCAAGACUUUGAUCGUUAGCUGGU
rnacentral:rRNA from 1 species